GCCUUCGCGUACUCCUCGAAAGCUCCGAAUUCACACCACCGACCGCGAUUAAAGGGAGGGGAGUGACGCUCUGGAGGCCCUCCGGCCGUUUCUGAUGUCACCGUUCUGGACUGCUGAGGGUCAAAGGUCAACCACAGGCCUGGACUGCUGAGGGUCAAAGGUCAACCACAGGCCUGGACUGACGGAUCAUGUGUGCUUCACAACGACUGCUUUGUUUUCUCCGUGUUUACCUUUCAUCUCUCCGUAUAAUCGUGUUCGUCUGAUUUGCUGCAUGUUUCCUAAGUACAUGUGCACUGUAAGCAAUUACACAAAACAAUUAGGCAAAAGAAAAACGAUUUAAAAAAGAAAAGAAAAGGCAGUUACUAUCAACAAAGCAGCAGAGAACAACACAGUACAAACAUUUCUGCAGACCUUCAAGGCUCUCACUCAAGUAGAAAAAUGAAGGACAAAUUUGAAGAACUGGCACUUUAAACGUGGUUUUAAGUGAACUAUUGGAUGGAUUGCCAUGUCAAAAUUUUUUCAUUUGUCCAAUACUUUGUUUUUAUGACCAAAUACCUGCGAAACGUUUGCAGACAAACUAAGAUGAACAUGGUAACAAUUACGUUAAAGGGACAGUUCACCCCAAAAUCAAAUACCGCUCACCUUGUUGUGAGCAGUUUCACGUAGGAACUAUUUUCUUUCCACCGGGUCAUGAUUUCUGGAAAGAGAUGUUGCUGUUGAGUUUUGCAAUUUUUUUUUUUUUUUGGCGCUUUGAUCUCCACAAGCCGAGCGCCAUAUAGUCCAAUUAUAUAUAUAUAUAUAAAAAAAAUGCAGACAUCUCUACGGCCGGUAUCUCCAAAACUCGGCAACUCUCACCAAAACAAUCUAGAUGGAUAAACAGCGCUACAGGUGAGAGGUUUUGGGGUGAACUGUCCCUUUAAGCCUCCCAGAGCUCUUGUUAGUACAUGAACAUUAAUCUUAUAUCUACUGGGAGUUUGACACCUCGUGUGUUCAGCUUCAGCGCACAGAAAAAUCAACAUGUCUAUGACACUGCUGAUCUGUACAUAAACAAGCAAACAGGCCAGUGUUGACGUGGAAAUACUGUUUUAUUGUCUGUACCAAACUUGAUAGAAGAAAAUCGAGUUUACCAGAGUAUAACAAACACAUCAAAGUCCAGCAGAAACUAGGAGACAGAGAGGAGAGAGAGAGACUCGGGUGGCACUCGGCCCACAGCAUCUUAUCGGCACUGAUGGCCGAGAGGGAAAAGGUCAGAGGUCACACGAAGCACCACCGUUACCUUUAGAGCCAUCAUUUCACUUUGCUUAGACAUUUUCAGCAAACACACACACCUGCAUGACUCAAACUGAGGAUCAUGUAUGUUUUAUCUUUAAAUCAGCCGUGAUUAGAUGGAGAUAAUAGUUAUGGAUCCCCAGAGUGGCCAAAACGUCCGAGCAACCACGAACUCUUUCGGGUGUGUGCGUGUCACUGAAAACGUCCCCAAAUAAAUCUUGCAGCAAGGUUUCAUAUCAAACACCACACAUAUACACACACACACACGGCCCUUCUCAGUAACAACUUACAAUAACUCAUUUUACUACCAUCAUUAAACCAGACAGGAGUCGACACACAACUUGAAAUACUUUCAGUGACUUGCCAGGAAAUCGUCUUGAAGCUGCAGAAACCAGGCGAUUGUCAAAACCUCUCCAGACAUAAUGAAAGGAAACAGUAACAGACUGUUAGGGAGCCAGUGGAGGGAGGGGGUUACAUUGGUACUGGGUUCAGUACAGAGGCCACUAUGUAAAAGGGGGAGGGGGGGGGCGCAUGUGUUCCCCUUUAACAUUGCAUAACAAAAAGCACUUCUUCACUAAGGCUCGACGACACACUAACUCGUCAGAACUGCUGGAAACACCAAAAGUCGCUGUUCGGGCCUACAGUUUUAAAAUGUUCCUGCAUUGAGGCGGCUCACAGUGAACAGAGAGGGAAGUAUCCACGCUGUGCAUUUUGGGAUGGAUCCCCAAAAGUCCCGCAGUGCGUGUCUGUCCUCAGUGCGCUACGAUUUGUCUCGGCAUCGACCCAACUUAACGUGAAUGGGUUUCCCCCAAACAAACUCCCCUUAGAAAACUGGUUAAUAUGCUUAAAUCUGCCUUUUGCACUAGCAAGUCUGGUACUUAACUCCUUAACAGUACUGUGUAAGUUAUUUUAACCAGCUUGGAGCUGAGCAGCAUUUAGCCAAUAUCAAUUUGACUUCCAACUAUUUGGUUGGGCUUCAGCUUUCAGUGCGUAUAUUUAGGGAGCACAGCUGAAACUAAUUGACCGUCAGGAAACGAAUCAGCAACUAUUUUGAUAAUAUGAAUCAUUGCAAAAUGCCGAACAGUUGCUGGUUCCAGCUUCUAAAAUAUGAGGAUUUGCUGUGUUUUCCCCCCGUUUUAUAUCGUUAUAAAUGAAAUAUCUUUGGGUUUUGGACUGUCGGUCAGUCAAAACAUUCCAAUAUGCAACUUUCAGAUUUGAGAAGCUAUGAUUGGGCAUUUUUAAACUAUUUUCUGACACUUAUAUAUAUAUGAAACAAUCGAUUAACCGAGAAAAUAGUCAGCAGAUAAAUCGAUAAUGACAGUGUUGAUUAGUUGCAGCCCUACUCAUUAAUAGACCUUCAGCUCUUUUCUCUGACACAAAUAGUCAAUAGCCCAAAUUAAAAAUUUCACCAAAGAUAAUCCGGACAGUAAGGAGCAUUUUGGGGAAACACUGCACGCCCUUUUCAGUUUUUGUUGUGUUGCCUCUGUAUUGCAGCACAUUAGAUUUCAAAUUAAGGAGUUAGAAGUUCUGGCUUUCAGCUUUACUUCGAUGAGGGGUUACAUCCGCGUCCAACGAACAGCAGAGGAAGUGCAGCCCUUAUUAUACACAGUGGAUCAGAUUUUGCCGACCCAACUGUGUUGGACAAAUUAACCUAAAUAAAGUCAUGUUUAAUAUUUGGUCAAAUGUCAGUCAAUGACCCCCUGAGGUCUCGGACCCUCAGACACUUGGUAUCUUCCCUGAUAAUGCUCGAUCAGGCCUUUACUGCAGCCAGAUUAUGACUGAAACUCACUGGUUGACUCGUCUGUAUGAUCGAUUUCCUGCAUUAUCCAGAAACCGGGGGACUAGGAGUAAAACGGGCUGCGAGUCCUGCAGCGUUCACCCAAAAUUAGUGUGAAAACCCUCAAACUAAAGCUGGAAGUCGGUCAGAACUUGAACCAUCAUAUUCAGAGUUUGAUUUGAAAUCCAGCGUGCUGGAGGAGAAUAGAGACGAGACAAAACAACAACAAAAAAAAAUAAGUUACUGCACUUGCACAUCAACACACUACAAGGUUGACUGUGACUUAGAAACAAGAAACUCCUUAGUUCAAAUCUUUGGAGUGAAAAAGUACAUUCUGAACAAAGUAUGACUUGAAAAUUAUUUCUAAAAAAAAAAAAAAAAAAGGGGAGUUGUAUUUCUUUAAGAUGUGGUUUUACUGAAGGCAACUACCAGAAAAUACAAAAAAAACAAAACCUAAAACCCAGGCACCCUCUGCUUUUGUGCAACAUUCAACCCUUCUACUCACGGCAGUGUUUGUUAAAGGCUUGUGAGUUCUGCCAGCUAUCAAAUCACGUAGCUGCAACACUUAAAUUCGAAACAUCUGCGCGUCUGAGUCACUGGUGGCAAGCUGGUCUAUCAGCUGAUCGGUUUGUCCAGAGGAGGAAAAUGCUCAACUCAGCAGCCCAAAGCCAAUUGAAACUUUAAUUCCAUUCUACAGAAUAUAUAUUUUGCAAGUCUGCAGCUGUGAUACGAAUCUACAUUUAUGUCACUGUGGAGACUAAGCUGCACCUUUCAUCUAACAGGUGGCGAGAAAAACACAAAGAAGUCACCAGAAAUCCACCAGUUAAAUUCAACUGAUGAGCAUUCGAUGGAAGACAGGCGGUCUGCCGCACCCUAACACAUCUGAGCUUUUGUCCAAAAUACCUCCAAUGUUGUUUAUUUUCAGAACACAUAAAAAAUACGACUAACAGUACAAACAUUUGCCCAAAACAGCUGAGACUUACAUUAAAGUAAAAUAAAAAAAGUUAUGAAAAAUGUUUUAUGAAAAGAAAUGUUUUUUUUUUUUAAUGAAUAAGGCCAUUGAUAAAGGUAUGUACUCCAAUAACAAGUUGCUGUUAACAGGGUUUGUGUGGAAUCAACACCAGUGUGUUGUUUCAAAUUAGGUACAAAUACAGUAGAGUACAGUGGAAAAACUGGUCUCAAAUUAGAUCCACAAUAUACAAUAUUAGUAUUAAAAUUGGUCAGUCGGGGGGUGGAAAUGAAGGGGAAAAGGAGACAAAAAGACACCUGUCUUGCAUUCCCAAAAAGGAAUAAGCCUUCAGUGCUGAAAGUUUCUAACUCACGGAUCCCACAUUUUAUAAAACAGCUUUGGGAAAAACAAAAU